UUCCAGUUUUCUUCCUCUCUCUCGCCGACGUAACUUUCCGGCGUCGCCGCCGCCUCGUCCGGCCACCUAUGGCCAUGAAAUUGGUGUCCAUCUCUUCGUCUUGAAACAAGGUUUCUAUCCAUAUAUGCCUUGCACCCUAUCAUUCACCAUAGACGACGAAUCGAAGCCAACAAGUUCGCUGUAGCAGCUCGGGUUUUCUGGAAAAUUUUCCAGAUUCCGGCCAUCUCCGACAACAUUUUUGGGCUUGAUCGAUGCGCCUCGGGACGUGGGUGACGUUCCUCCAAGUUUUAUUCCACAAAUUGAAGUGAAAUUGGUGAAUCGAAGGGCGAUAUACCGAGCUAUUGCUCGAUGAAGGAACUCGUAUGCGUGAUCGCCUAAAUAGUACUUUUGCAAGCCAGUUUAGCUUGAGGUCGAGCGUACAUGGGGUUGAGGCAUAGCUGUCAUAGCUUCCGCAGUAUAAAAGUAUCGGUCAUUUAUCUUAUAUUUUAUCAUCUUGUACGUCUGUACAUUAGAUUGCUCUGAUAACCCAGGAUAUUAAUAUUUUUAAGUUCAGAAUUGUUUGUGAAAUGGGAGAUGUUGUGAUAUGGGGAGCAGGGUGGCUCCAGAAGAUUAAGGGUGGAUUAUUUUAGAAGUGUAAA